rnacentral:lncRNA from 1 species
AUGCUUCUUUUGCACACUUCUCUGUGUUCUGUUUCACCUGCUCUGCGUUGGAAGUGGAGAGCAUCGCCCUGGCUGGGAGCUCAGAAAGAGACUUUGCAGAAGGACGCCCUGGAUCCAUCUCAGGUAAGUCCUCCUCACCUUGUCAGACAAGAGGGAGGCAGCAGAAAGAGAGAGAGAAAGAGAUUGAGAGUUUCCUGUCCGGGCAGGUUUUUUUU